rnacentral:RNase_P_RNA from 1 species
UCGGUCGGCCGGACGGUCGCGUCGCGUGAAAGCGCGCCGAGGAAAGUCCGGGCUCCAUGGGCAAGCUGCCAGGUAACGCCUGGGCACGCUGCAAAGCGUGACGGACAGUGCAACAGAAAAGACACCGCCUUUGCGCAAGCAGAGGUAAGGGUGAAAUGGUGGGGUAAGAGCCCACCGCGCGCGUGGCAACACGCGUGGCAAGGCAAACCCCAGCUGGAGCAAGGCCAAAUAGGCGGCGAGCAGCAGUCCUCUGCGAUCAAGACGCCGCGGGUUGGCUGCUAGAGUACGUGGGCGACCACGGACCGAGAGAAAUGACCGUCCGGAACUUCGGUUCCGACAGAACCCGGCUUAUAGGCCGGCCGUCAUC